rnacentral:rRNA from 1 species
UGGGGAAUAUUGGACAAUGGGCGCAAGCCUGAUCCAGCAAUGCCGCGUGUGUGAAGAAGGCCUUCGGGUUGUAAAGCACUUUUAUCAGGAGCGAAAUACUACCGAUUAAUACUCGGUGGGGCUGACGGUACCUGAGGAAUAAGCACCGGCUAACUUCGUGCCAGCAGCCGCGGCAAUACGAAGGGUGCAAGCGUUAAUCGGAAUUACUGGGCGUAAAGGGUGCGUAGGCGGUUAUUUAAGUCUGCCGUGAAAUCCCCGGGCUCAACCUGGGAAUGGCGGUGGAUACUGGAUAGCUAGAGUGUGUCAGAGGAUGGUGGAAUUCCCGGUGUAGCGGUGAAAUGCGUAGAGAUCGGGAGGAACAUCAGUGGCGAAGGCGGCCAUCUGGGACAACACUGACGCUGAAGCACGAAAGCGUGGGGAGCAAACA